rnacentral:rRNA from 1 species
GAUGAACGCUGGCGGCGUGCCUAACACAUGCAAGUCGAACGGAGUCCAGCCUUUAAGACCUUCGGGUCAAAGAGGGGAAGACUGAGUGGCGGACGGGUGAGUAACACGUGGGCAACCUGGCUCAUAGAGGGGGAUAACAGAGAGAAAUUUCUGCUAAUACCGCAUAAGCACACACUGCCGCAUGGCAGAGGGUGAAAAGAGAAUCGCUAUGAGAUGGACCCGCGUCUGAUUAGCCAGUUGGCAGGGUAAGAGCCUACCAAAGCGACGAUCAGUAGCCGAUCUGAGAGGAUGAACGACCACAUUGGGACUGAGACACGGCCCAAACUCCUACGGGAGGCAGCAGUGGGGGAUAUUGCACAAUGGGGGGAACCCUGAUGCAGCGACGCCGCGUGAGUGAAGAAGUAUUUCGGUAUGUAAAGCUCUAUCAGCAGGGAAGAUAAUGACAGUACCUGAAUAAGAAGCCCCGGCUAACUACGUG